rnacentral:rRNA from 1 species
AUUGAACGCUGGCGGCAGGCCUAGCACAUGCAAGUCGAAUGGUAACAGGAAACAGCUUGCUGUUUCGCUGACGAGUGGCGGACGGGUGAGUAAUGUCUGGGAAACUGCCUGAUGGAGGGGGAUAACUACUGGAAACGGUAGCUAAUACCGCAUAACGUCGCAAGACCAAAGAGGGGGACCUUCGGGCCUCUUGCCAUCAGAUGUGCCCAGAUGGGAUUAGCUAGUAGGUGGGGUAACGGCUCACCUAGGCGACGAUCCCUAGCUGGUCUGAGAGGAUGACCAGCCACACUGGAACUGAGACACGGUCCAGACUCCUACGGGAGGCAGCAGUGGGGAAUAUUGCACAAAGGGCGCAAGCCUGAUGCAGCCAUGCCGCGUGUAUGAAGAAGGCCUUCGGGUUGUAAAGUACUUUCAGCGGGGAGGAAGGGAGUAAAGUUAAUACCUUUGCUCAUUGACGUUACCCGCAGAAGAAGCACCGGCUAACUCCGUG